rnacentral:lncRNA from 1 species
AUCUCUAAUAUCAUCUUAAGUCUAUUAUUUAAGCUAAAGUCCUAAAAUCACAUAUCUUUUACAGCAAAAUGCAUUGAGUAUGUAGAUAAAGUCAAUAUCUUUGACAAGAUUGCCUCUUUUCAUAAUUUCAUCUCUCUUCCUCUAUGAUGACACUUGACCACUCUUCGGGUCCUGAGAACUUGUCAUACUGUGUAUCCUAUAAAGCCC